GGCGAGGGGAGUGAAAAAGAACCUGAAACCGUGUACGUACAAGCAGUGGGAGCACAGGUUUACCUGUGUGACUGCGUACCUUUUGUAUAAUGGGUCAGCGACUUAUAUUCUGUAGCAAGGUUAACCGCAUAGGGGAGCCGGAGGGAAACCGAGUCUUAAUUGGGCGUUAAGUUGCAGGGUAUAGACCCGAAACCCGGUGAUCUAGCCAUGGGCAGGUUGAAGGUUGGGUAACACUAACUGGAGGACCGAACCGACUAAUGUUGAAAAAUUAGCGGAUGACCUGUGGCUGGGGGUGAAAGGCCAAUCAAACCGGGAGAUAGCUGGUUCUCCCCGAAAGCUAUUUAGGUAGCGCCUCGUGAAUUCAUCUCCGGGGGUAGAGCACUGUUUCGGCUAGGGGGCCAUCCCGGCUUACCAACCCGAUGCAAACUGCGAAUACCGGAGAAUGUUAUCACGGGAGACACACGGCGGGUGCUAACGUCCGUCGUGAAGAGGGAAACAACCCAGACCGCCAGCUAAGGUCCCAAAGUCAUGGUUAAGUGGGAAACGAUGUGGGAAGGCCCAGACAGCCAGGAUGUUGGCUUAGAAGCAGCCAUCAUUUAAAGAAAGCGUAAUAGCUCACUGGUCGAGUCGGCCUGCGCGGAAGAUGUAACGGGGCUAAACCAUGCACCGAAGCUGCGGCAGCGACACUGUGUGUUGUUGGGUAGGGGAGCGUUCUGUAAGCCUGCGAAGGUGGCCUGUGAGGGUUGCUGGAGGUAUCAGAAGUGCGAAUGCUGACAUAAGUAACGAUAAAGCGGGUGAAAAGCCCGCUCGCCGGAAGACCAA
rnacentral:rRNA from 1 species